GGGGGCCCGCACAAGCGGUGGAGCAUGUGGUUUAAUUCGAUGGUACGCGAGGAACCUUACCAGGGCUUGACAUGUGCCGGAAGCGCACCGAAAGGUGCGUGCCGCUUGCGGCCGGCGCACAGGUGCUGCAUGGCUGUCGUCAGCUCGUGCUGUGAAGUGUUGGGUUAAGUCCCGCAACGAGCGCAACCCCUGCUGCCUGUUGCCACCACGAGAGGUGGGGACUCAGGCGGGACCGCCGGUGACAAACCGAAGGAAGGUGGGGACGACGUCAAGUCAUCAUGGCCCUUAUGUCCUGGGCUACACACGUGCUACAAUGGCCGGUACAGAGCGCAGCGAGGCCGCGAGGCGGAGCGAAUCGCUUAAAGCCGGUCCCAGUACGGAUUGGAGUCUGCAACCCGACUCCAUGAAGUUGGAAUCGCUAGUAAUCGCGCAUCAGCAUGGCGCGGUGAAUACGUUCCCGGGCCUU
rnacentral:rRNA from 1 species